CAUAGCCAUUAUAUAACUAGUCUGGAAGCUCUCGCUUUUUUGCAUGACACCGAGUUGUUGACAGCGACAUCUGGUGUUGGCGUGGGUUUUACACCCCUGUCGUCUGCUGGACAGCCGAAUCAGGCAGUUUGAUACAGAUUGUGUUUAAAUAUUGCUACUCUCCUAACUUUAAAAGCAAAGUUGAGAAUGGAAAAGCUAGAAUUUGUGCUGAUAAUUUCAAGGAUGAAGAUAUUCAAAGGGCCAAUAAAAAAGAUGGAAUAAGUUUGGAGCAUCACCCACAAAAUUGUUGCCAAGAAAAUCACAUGAAGUACCUCCCUGGCCACCAGGAAGAAUUGUUCCCAAAUAUUCAUCUAUAAAUGACUGUCCACCUUCAUCAUCUCAAUCUGCAAUUAUUAACUACAAUUCCAUCAAUGAAAUAAUUUCAGCUUUUGAAAAACUGGAGAAUACAUUAAAUCAAUACAUACAAAGCUCAUUUCACAUACUAUUCUAAUCACAGUUUACAGGCGACAUCGGAAAUGAGCCUUCUAAUUUGCCAAUUUGACCAAAAAUAAUUUUCCUUUUCUUGCGCUUUCGCUGGAGUUUAUUCUCCCACAAUAUCAUCAGCAAUUUCAAUCCUACUCAAAAACUUAGUUGAUCUCACCCCGAGUUUGGGAUAUGAUAUUGUUUCCACAAAAAGUUCAUGGAUUCCCAGAAGUGUUCCAGAAAUAGAAGAUGAUGGCAGAAUUUCCUUGAAAUUAAGAUAUAUCAGCUCUCAAUGUGAAAUAUUGUAUUUUUAUCCUGGUACACGACCCAACAUCUGCUACACUUGUAUGCGUC